CCUAAUUCGUGUGGUACUCUCUUUGGUGUGUUUUAAGCCUUGGAAAGAAGGUUGGCUAGGAGGGAAAAGCUUGAAGAGCAAAGGGGUUGAAGCAAGGAAGGUGUGGGAAACAGAACUUACCUCAGCUAGCAUCUUCUGGAGGUGGUGGAGUCUUUGGCAAGUGAUCCGAGAGUUGGGAUUUAUCUACCGAGUCGACAUCUGCGAGGUACUUCGGGAGAUCAUGGCAAGGCGAAGGCGUGACUGUACCGCU